rnacentral:rRNA from 1 species
UGUGUAGGCGGCUUGUUAAGUAGGGUGUGAAAGCCCCUGGCUCAACCAGGGAACUGCACUCUAUACUGGCGAGCUAGAGUGAGAUAGGGGUGUGUGGAACUGCCAGUGGAGCGGUGAAAUGUGUUGAUAUUGGCAGGAACGCCGGUGGCGAAAGCGACACACUGGGUCUCAACUGACGCUGAGACACGAAGCCAGGGAGCAAACGG